rnacentral:SRP_RNA from 1 species
GCGGGCACGGUGGCAUGUGCCUAUAGGCCCAACUACUCGGGAGGCUGAGGUGGGAGGAUAGCUUGAGUCCAGGAGUUCGGGGCUAUAGUGUGCUAUGCCAAUCGGGUGUCUGCACUAAGUUCAGCAUCAACAUGGUGACCUCCCCGGAGCAGGAGACCACCAGGUUGCCUAAGGAGGGAUGAAUCAGCCCAGGUGGGAAACAGAGCAGGUCAAAACUCCUGUGCUGAUCAGUAGUGGGAUCACACCUGUCAAUAGCCACUGCACUCCAGCCUGGGCAGCAUAAUGAGACCCUAUCUCU